GCCGGGCAUGGUAGUGCAUGCCUGUAAUCCAGUGGCUUGGGAGGCUGAGGCAAGAGGAUUGCAAGUUCAAAUCCACCCUCAGCAACUUAGCAAGGGCCUAAGCAACUUAGUGAGACCCUGUCUUAA
rnacentral:sRNA from 1 species